ensembl:lincRNA Mir9-3hg Mir9-3 host gene
GGGGCGCCCGAAGGAUCCUGGCCUCCAAAGUGGCUUAUUGGACAUCUCUGACCUGAGCUUGGCUCGCGAGGGGCGAACGGGAGCCUCGACUGGUAAAUGGGGGAUCGGGCGAGCCCCACAGUGGGGCUCGGGACCUGGCCCCGGGCGCUCGCUCUCGGAGCCCGUGCGGGGAGAGCUUAGGCAGGGGAUUCCCUCGGCCGCCCCGCACGCACCUCGAGUCCCAGGCCUCCCCGGGCCUACGGAAGCACCGAGCGCCCGCGGCGAAGCCGGCCUGGGAAGUGCCCUCGGAGCUCGGCCUGCGCACACACACCCGACGCCCGGGACCGAAAAGGAGACCCGGAGGAGCGGCCGCGUCCCCCGGGCCUGCGCCAAGGCUUCGGCGGGGCGCGCUGCGGGGCCGGGAGGCCAUUUUGAGAGCGAACGAGCGGCGGCAAGAUGGCUGCGUGGGCACGAGAUUGUCCCUUGAAGGGAAGUGAUGGCACAGGCUCUGAUCAGCUCUUCUGGGAACAGACAGAGAAGUGGGAAUUCCUGCCAAAGCCACAGGAUGAAUACAGCGCCAAGAACCUGAACCAGAAAAAUGCAGCAGGAAAGGAAACUGCAGUAGCCACCAUCCUGAGGCUGCUGUACAAGGAGCAUUCCUGAGACAGGGGACGUGCUCCCCAGCCCUCCUUGAGGCCUCUGCCACUGCCCUGCUUGUCUAGAAUCUCCUCCAUUCUGCUUGUGCCACAUCUUUCAGGCCUGCUCUGGGUCUGAUGUGCUGUAGAACACUUUGCUCAGGCGCUUGGGAGAUAGAGACUUCAUUACCAUCGUUUCCACCCCAAAGAACUAGGCAGCACACUGGGAAGUUGCCAAAGGAAGGGACUCCAGCCUCCCAGGAGUUAACACCAUUUCUCCCCAGCUGUCCUCCCCUUGGUGCUCCUUUUCCUCCCUCCUCCUGCUCACAGCAGGCAGGGCCUGGAACCAGGAGCCAUGCUGCUGUGCUGUUGCCAGGGGAGCUGGGAGGCAGAUCGGAGCUAUGCAGGGGAAAGGCUCGGCCUGUCAGAGUGUCUGAGAUGAACCACCGCCAUCCCCGUGCAGCUGGGCUCCAUGUGUCUCAGGGCUCUUGUUCUGUGCCUGAGAACGGUGAAGCCCAGUGAGGUUCAAGGGCACACUCGCUAUUCAUCAGUCGGGGGUUCUUGAUGGUCCUGCCUCUCCCAAGGAUGGGUUCCCCCCUUCCUCUUUCUCUCCUUCCUAGGACACAUUCCUGGGUGCCUGUGGUGAGGACUGCACACCCCCUCCUCCCCAGCCCCCCCAAACCCUGAAUCAACUCCUAUUAAGGAGGCCAGGCGGGACAGGGACAAUGGCUUCAAGAAAUCAUUCAGGCGGGACCCCAGCCACAUUCGCAUGCCCGUCACUCCCAGAGCCCCUAUAGAUCCCACUCUGCUGUGAUUCAGGGACCCUUGGACCCCCAGCUUGCACAUGCCUAGACAGGAGCAGGUCACUAGGUGCUGCCCUGCACAACAGGCCAGUGCAGUGUUAUUCUCAGGGGCCCUGGUGCCUCCAUCCCACUGGCUGGAUACUUUGUGCAGUUGGUUGGAAAGCAGAAAUUACAAUAUUUUCUGAAAUGUGGUAAUAUCAAAAUAUAAGAGGCACAUAUACAUGAUAACUAAUUUCACUUUAGAUAUACUGGGAAAGUUUGCUAAGAAACAUGGACAAAGACCUGUGGUUGAGUAAUGAGUCAUUUCAUUCUAUGGAAUACUACACACCUGUAAGACUGUGGUCAAUCUACCUCUGCGUGUGGGCUGAUAGGGAAGGUUGCUAAUAUACUUAAGUGAAUAGAAUAAAGUACAAAACAGUCAA